UACAGAGGGUGCAAGCGUUGUUCGGAAUUAUUGGGCGUAAAGCGCGCGCGGGCGGUUGUCUAAGUCUGCUGUGAAAUCUCCCGGCUCAACUGGGAGGGGGCGGCGGAGACUGGGCGACUGGAGGGACCUAGAGGCCGGUGGAAUUCCCGGUGUAGUGGUGAAAUGCGUAGAGAUCGGGAGGAACACCUGUGGCGAAGGCGGCCGGCUGGGGGUACCCUGACGCUGAGGCGCGACAGCGUGGGGAGCGAACCGG
rnacentral:rRNA from 1 species